CCCUUCUGAAACGAAGAAAGAAUGAAGAACUUCCUGUGUUUACUCCCCCAAGGCAAACAUUGGAGGCUUUGCUUGAAUCAGGCUAUUCUCUCAUCAAAGAACAACAGCUGAUAAUGGAGAAUAAACUUUCAAAGGAAUACAUGAAGAACAUUGACGACUAGAAAAGAGUAUGCCUUUGCACUCAAUUUUGCAUGCUACCCAGUGAAUUCUUUAAUUAUUCGAUGUCUGGAAGAGAGAGAAAAACUGAAAGAUUUAAAUCAAAUGAAGAAAAUUAGUUGUAAUAAUUAGAGAAAUUAUUUGCAAGUAGAAAAGAACUUGGGCGCUGAGCAUGAUUUCACUUUCCUUGGUCUCUAGGUCUGC
rnacentral:misc_RNA from 1 species